rnacentral:rRNA from 1 species
GAUGAACGCUGGCGGCGUGCCUAAUACAUGCAAGUCGAGCGAACAGACGAGGAGCUUGCUCCUCUGACGUUAGCGGCGGACGGGUGAGUAACACGUGGAUAACCUACCUAUAAGACUGGGAUAACUUCGGGAAACCGGAGCUAAUACCGGAUAAUAUAUUGAACCGCAUGGUUCAAUAGUGAAAGACGGUUUUGCUGUCACUUAUAGAUGGAUCCGCGCCGCAUUAGCUAGUUGGUAAGGUAACGGCUUACCAAGGCAACGAUGCGUAGCCGACCUGAGAGGGUGAUCGGCCACCCUGGAACUGAGACACGGUCCAGACUCCUACGGGAGGCAGCAGUAGGGAAUCUUCCGCAAUGGGCGAAAGCCUGACGGAGCAACGCCGCGUGAGUGAUGAAGGUCUUCGGAUCGUAAAACUCUGUUAUUAGGGAAGAACAAAUGUGUAAGUAACUAUGCGCGUCUUGACGGUACCUAAUCAGAAAGCCACGGCUAACUACGUG